CUUGAGAGGAUUUCACUGGAG
rnacentral:miRNA from 1 species